rnacentral:rRNA from 1 species
UACGAAUGGGGCUAGCGUUGUUCGGAAUUACUGGGCGUAAAGCGCACGUAGGCGGAUUCUUAAGUCAGGGGUGAAAUCCCGGGGCUCAACCUCGGAACUGCCUUUGAUACUGGGUAUCUCGAGUCCGGAAGAGGUGAGUGGAAUUCCGAGUGUAGAGGUGAAAUUCGUAGAUAUUCGGAGGAACACCAGUGGCGAAGGCGGCUCACUGGUCCGGUACUGACGCUGAGGUGCGAAAGCGUGGGGAGCAAACAGG